UACGUAGGGUGCGAGCGUUAAUCGGAAUUACUGGGCGUAAAGCGUGCGCAGGCGGUUUUGUAAGCCAGGUGUGAAAUCCCCGGGCUCAACCUGGGAAUGGCAUUUGGGACUGCAAGGCUUGAGUGCGGCAGAGGAGACUGGAAUUCCUGGUGUAGCAGUGAAAUGCGUAGAUAUCAGGAGGAACACCGAUGGCGAAGGCAGGUCACUGGGCCGCAACUGACGCUGAGGAGCGAAAGCAUGGGGAGCGAACAGG
rnacentral:rRNA from 1 species